rnacentral:lncRNA from 1 species
AAUUUAGUCUAGACCUAAGCCUUGCCCAAGGUCUAGACCAAAACUCUAAGCCUAGCCCUAGGCAUAGCUGAAAAGUCUCUUUUCUCCAAAAUAAUUAUUUUUACCAAACUUCCAAUUUGAGUCAAAAUUUCCUUAAUUCAUAAAUUUCCAAAUUUCUUAGAUUUUCCUUAUGAUUCCUUAAUAUUCCUUUUGUUCAAAAUUCAUAUUUUAUUGCACAUUUUUCUUUUUAAUUUCAAUUAUUUUACUUUACCACUUCAAUUUAAACUUAAUUUUAGAUUACCAAAUCAAUUCUUUUUACGCUUUUGUGCAAUUUGCCCUUAAACCCACAGCAGGGGGAUAGAAUCCCAUAAGCCCGCACCUGCUACAUAGGGUUCCUUGGCCUAUGACACUCUCGAUGUGUUCAUGUCUGGCAAUGCCCGUGCCUCAAAGGGGUUGCUGGAUAAUAGCUUGCUAGUGGGGCGCAUGCCUCGGCACUGUGGACGCACGCCUCGAUACCAUGGGUGCCUGAGCGUGUGUCCUUGUGCACAUGCGUGCACAUCACUCAACAUAAAUAGUGCCUCAUGCAAGUCCUCUCAGUGCAGCAAGGGCGCUUGACAAGAACCUUUUGCAUAUGCACACCAUACUGUGCGUACACAGCAUGCUAGGGGACAUGUCCUGACGCUCUUGGAUGCCUGGAAAGUGUCCUGUAUGCACCAUCCCGCAUGGUCGCCCGUGUCUACCCCAUUAGCCAACACGUUGGUUCCUGGGAAAUGCAAAUAGAGGCAUCGAGCCUCUGUUUGCUGAUUGUUUCCAUUUUUCCUUUCAUUUCAGCAUUUUAAUCCAUCUACAUAAUGUUAUAGAUCAUUCUAGUAAUCACAUUCCAUCAAAAUCAUCAUUAAAAACAAGGUUAAAUCAUCAAAAUCAUGCAUGCAACAUACACACCCUCUGCAUCAAUUAAAACAAUAAGAAUACAUGCAUUGUUUGAAGAUUUAAUCACCCUACAUGCAUCUAUAAAACCAAAUCCAGUUAAAAACUAACUACCACCAAUCUUAAUAUAAAGAAGAAGGUCUAAGCACUCCAAACACACGAGGAAAUUGACCUAAAAGCAAGAAGAACAGCUAGCAACACACUUGUGCGACGGUGGCCGCACUAGUCGGGUUUUUGAGUUUAAUCCACAAUUUUUAGGUUGUUUUACCAUAUCAAUUCAGUUUAAAUUCAAGUUAGAACCUAAAUAAACUAAUCUAAAGCUGCAAAACAAAUAAAUAACCGAAAGGAAAAAAUAAGGAAGAAUAACAUACUUACUUGAACAGUCCUGAUUGAUACUGUUAUGGUUGCAGAAUGAGCUUCAAUCAAAACUGGAAGAAAGAUUUUUGUGUUUGGGUGAAAAAGGAAUGAGCAAAUUAAUGGAAGAAAGAGCUAAUCUACUUGAAACAGAAGUAGAUGCUUAUCUGAGAAGAUAAGAAACCAUCUUCUCGUCUAGAUAGCACGCGUAAUUUUCUGCACUCUUCUUCUCUCAAUUUUUACUCUCUUUCUCUCACUAGAUUCUCUCUAAAUUUGACUCUCUCUCUGGUUUUCUAUUUGCUCGAAAAAAUGAAGAACUAGAGAAGAAAGUGGAAAGGAGGCAUCAUUUUAUACCCCAUGUUGCGGCAUCCUUAGCCCUCUAAUGACAUGCAAUGCAUUUGGGCCAUUAG